GAGAGAGAGAGAGAGAGAGAGAGAACCAGAGUUCUCCGACCCGGAAUGAGACCCGCGACUGGGCCUGACCGGAAAACGCUUCCCCAACCACUUCUUCGAGGCGGACCACCGGGAAAAGCCUUGUCUCGUCAUCGCCUACAUCUCUGCGGUGUCGGAUUGUACAUGCAAUGGCCCGGAACGAAGAAUUGACGACUGGAAGCCCGAGCUGCCUCCGGCGAGUUCUGUAGUUCCCGGCGACUCCGGCCACCGUUUGGGCCGCCUGUGAUGAUCUGCUCUUCGUGCUCUACGUGUUAGUUGCUAGUAGGAAGAAUUGACGGUGGUAAUACUCGAGUAGCAGAAUCAAGGGAUGGGCUAGGCUGGGUUCAACUCGCUGCGUUCUUCGUCGGAAAGCAGACCUGUAAUUCUGAGGUUCUGUUUUGAUUUAGUUGAUCACAAGGUGAGUUGUAGUUUGUUGAAGGUUCUGAGAAUUUACCUAUGUAGUUGGCUUCUGGAAACUUGAUUGCAUGUGUUUGUAUGCUUACCGUGAAA